UCCGUAGGUGGAUCAGUCAGUCAGAGGUGAAAUCCUGCAGCUUAACUGUAGAACUGCCUUUGAUACUGUUGAUCUUGAGUCAUUAUGAAGUGGUUAGAAUGUGUAGUGUAGCGGUGAAAUGCAUAGAUAUUACACAGAAUACCGAUUGCGAAGGCAGAUCACUAAUAAUGUACUGACACUGAGGGACGAAAGCGUGGGGAGCGAACAGGAUUAGAUACCCUGGUAGUCC
rnacentral:rRNA from 1 species